AAUCAAACACCUAAUCCGACCUGCCUUGAACAACGAAGGAAUGAGUUAGUCCCGUGUCACAGAAAGGUCAGACCUGGGGAAACUUGGGGUUCAAGUCUCAUAGCAGCUUCCCUCAAGAACAUUCCUUUCUCACUCACUGAGGCAACCCCUGCAGAGGGGUGAGGUGGGGAGAGAACACCCUACUAGGAUGCUCUGUGCAUCCUAGGCCCGAGCAGCAGUGAGAUGUGUGGCUUCUGAGUUGUGGGAAGCGAUGAUAAGCCCUGGGGAGCCUCAGGACUCUGGGGCAGGCGGGGUCAGGCACAGGAACGAACAUUCUAUUUCCUUCACCAUGUGAAGAACAAUGGUGCAAAACUGGUAAUACGUGGCCAUGGACUAAAGAGUCAGCAGGAGGAGCACAGGUCAAAUCUCACAGUGACUAGUUGGCACCCGCUCUCUGCUGCCUGAGCCUCUGCCUUAAACUGGAAGCAUUCAUGGAGUCCUGGGUAUCUCAGAGAGCCACAUGGAGCUAUGACGGACGGAAUCAAAGCCCACCAGGAAGCAAAGAUCGAUCGAUCAGUCAGUCAUAUCUGGAUAUCAAAGCCAUGAGUCCAGGCCUGACUUCUGAACAUAGUGCCAUGGUCCACCAGGAAGCAAAGAGUGUACCUGAGUGUCAAGGCCGUGGGCACAGGCCUGCCUUCUAAAUAUAGCACCAUGGUCUCUGUGACAAAGUAACAAGCACACCACCAGAAACCCUGGUUACAGGGGUGAUAGGAGAAGCUCCCAGGAAUUAAUGCAGACUGGGAGGAGAGAGGCACACCAGGGCAGCACGUGAGUCUCAAGGUCGGUGGAGCAGAGAGGGCUUGUGCAUGGACCACUGGGGAGCUUGUUCUCCUUAGGGUCUGGAGCCAUGAGCUCUCUAAGAUAUGACAGACUUCUCUGAUUACCAAGUGGGCCAAGAGUACCCAGGAAGCCCCUCUCUUUCACCUCCUCCACCCUCCGUGCUACCAUUAAGACUCGAGUCAAAGCACCAUAAAUCUCCCUUGUCUAGACCUACAGUGCGUGACAACAGCGAAUCCACCUCCUUCCCCAGAGGUGGUUCUCAUCCUGACACACCUUGCCCAGGGCCUCAGUCCACACACGACCUCUGCCCAUCGCCGCCUGCCUGCGGCUCUGAGAAGACGGCUGGACGGCUGAUACCAAGAUAAAGUCAUUCUUUGUUGGGUGCAGACAAAACCCAGAGCCAAGAAGACGAGGGGGAAAGAGUUGGUGCCUUGCUUGUAGAAGUGUCUCAAGGACUUUCUAGAAAGCCCCACCGGAAAAUCUUCAAAGACACAUGCCUUGCUCACCCCCACAGUACAUACGAAUGGCUCUGCCAAGGUUUCUCUGGAACAUUCUGUGAGGUAGAUCGCACAACUCAGGGGAGGUGCUCUUCGAGCGGCCUCUCCUCCAGUCAGCUAAUGUAAACCCCUGCCUCAGUCAGUGCCUAAGGUCCUGGGACUGUGUUUGGAAGUGACUUACUUGAACUUCUCCCUUACACUGCCAAAGCUUCCCUUAUGUGGUCCGCCUAUACCGUGCCUUCGCUUGUAUCUACAUUAUAACCCUCUUUCUCACUCCUGAACAAAUUAUUUUUGCUUGAAGGCAUUUUCCUGUGGUUUCUUGGCAGCUUUGACCAGAAAGCUUUGUAAGCCAGACAGGGCACCCCUAGGCCCUGGGACUCAGCCUACAUGCCACCGAGUGUUGCUCAAACCUAUGGUCCCUACCUGGAGAAAUUAAAACUGAAGAGGUCAAGCAGGCAGCAAAUGUCCCUUCUAUUAACAGAAGAUAUCUGAGGGAUGGUGGCUAGGAGACUUUACCUAGAAACCAAAUACCUAGAAAUCAAUCUCUUAAGAGUCAAACUUCUACAUAAACAUAAACCGACAGGGCGUUUUGUUGCUCUGUACUAACAAGUCAACUAAAUUGCAUAUUUAGUAUUCGAAAAAUCAUUCUUGGGGUCUGAAGAUACAGCUCAGUGGUGGGAUGCUGCACAAGGCCCUGAAUUCUAUCCCUAACAUUAAAAAAAACUAUUUUUAAAAAUGCCUUUACUAAGAACGUAUGGCCUAAAUUAGGCAACCCAGCCACUGUUCACAUCGUCUAUAUAUCGUAUUAUUAUAAAUCAUUUAGGGAUGACUUAAAACAUAGGCAGGGUAUAUAUAAUGUCUGUGCAAAUACUACGCCAUGCCACACAAGGACCUCAGAGUUCAGUAUCAGAAGAGGGUCUUAGAGCCAAGUCUCCCACAAACGCUGAACGCCCCUUUAGGGACAAAGCUGAGCCCUGAAUCCCAGACCUCCUGCUUUUUGAAGACCAGCCUAGACUAGAAGCGGUGAACUGGGGAGGGGCUCAGAAGGCCUGGCAUAAAGGCAGCGGCUAGAACCUUCUGCAGAGUCAGCAGGAGUCAUCAAACAUGGCCCUGGGCCAGUGGAGCCCCUCCACGCUCCAAACUAACAAUGAAAGGUUAUAAAACACAAACAAAAACAAAUAAAACUAUGCAAUAGAGACUCUACCCAGCCCUCAAUCCCUAAAAUAUUUAUGGCCCAGACCUUAAAGAGAAGGUUUGCUGAGCCUUGCAUCAGAGUAAGCUUUACUAGCACUUGAAAAGACAAACUGAGGCCUAUUAAACUUUUAACAGAUUAUUUGAGCGAACCAUGAUCCCUGAAGUAAGGCAUCACCAAACCAAGGAGGGCCUGGGACUCUCUGUCACUGGGGUGUGCAGAGAAGGCUUGCAUGGAUGACCUGAUUGGCUGAAGUCUGAGCAGUGGUCUCACUUGAUAACCCCAGCGGAAAAUCCCUUGUUACCCAGGAGUACCCAGUGGCCCUUUAUAAUUGGCUAAGACCAACCUGCAUUUACACAAGCCCAGGACAAGGGGCCCAUUGCAACCCAGUGAGCUCCCAUUAAGUUAUUUUAGACACGAACCUUUAGCAGUCGAUCAAUAGUAUGUACAUUUACAGUCAUAACUAUUUUAGUCUUCCAUCCAUAAAGAUUACCUCAGUAUGUUAAACUGUAUUGUUUCCUGGGCGUUAAUGCUCAACUGUAAAAACAGAGUUAAUGAUUGGAUGCUAUUCAUGUAAAUGAUUUCUUAACCCAUACGAAUGCAUAGUCUUGAAGGUCAGUAUGAUAAAGACAUGGAAAAAUGGA